UACGUAGGGUGCAAGCGUUGUCCGGAAUUAUUGGGCGUAAAGAGCUCGUAGGCGGUCUGUCGCGUCUGCUGUGAAAACCUAGGGCUUAACUCUGGGCGUGCAGUGGGUACGGGCAGGCUAGAGUGCGGUAGGGGAGACUGGAAUUCCUGGUGUAGCGGUGAAAUGCGCAGAUAUCAGGAGGAACACCGGCGGCGAAGGCGGGUCUCUGGGCCGUAACUGACGCUGAGGAGCGAAAGCAUGGGGAGCGAACAGG
rnacentral:rRNA from 1 species